rnacentral:rRNA from 1 species
AUAAAACUCAAAGGAAUUGACGGGGGCCCGCACAAGCGGCGGAGCAUGCGGAUUAAUUCGAUGCAACGCGAAGAACCUUACCAAGGCUUGACAUGAACCGGUAACGCCUGGAGACAGGUGCCCCGCUUGCGGUCGGUUUACAGGUGGUGCAUGGUUGUCGUCAGCUCGUGUCGUGAGAUGUUGGGUUAAGUCCCGCAACGAGCGCAACCCUCGUUCUAUGUUGCCAGCACGUGAUGGUGGGGACUCAUAGGAGACUGCCGGGGUCAACUCGGAGGAAGGUGGGGACGACGUCAAAUCAUCAUGCCCCUUAUGUCUUGGGCUUCACGCAUGCUACAAUGGCCGGUACAAAGGGUUGCGAUACUGUGAGGUGGAGCUAAUCCCAAAAAGCCGGUCUCAGUUCGGAUUGGGGUCUGCAACUCGACCCCAUGAAGUCGGAGUCGCUAGUAAUCGCAGAUCAGCAACGCUGCGGUGAAUACGUUCCCGGGCCUUGUACACACCGCCCGUCAAGUCACGAAAGUUGGUAACACCCGAAGCCGGUGGCCUAACCCCUUGUGGGAGGGAGCUGUCGAAGGUGGGACUGGCGAUUGGAG